rfam:Takifugu rubripes chromosome, Chr_2
GUCUCUCUGAUUAAGUGGUUCUCAACAGUUCAACAGUUCUAUGAGAAAAUUGUGAAAUGUUUAGGACCACUUGACCAGUC